rnacentral:rRNA from 1 species
GACGAACGCUGGCGGCGUGCUUAACACAUGCAAGUCGAACGGAAAGGCCCUGCUUUUGUGGGGUGCUCGAGUGGCGAACGGGUGAGUAACACGUGAGUAACCUGCCCUUGACUUUGGGAUAACUUCAGGAAACUGGGGCUAAUACCGGAUAGGAGCUCCUGCUGCAUGGUGGGGGUUGGAAAGUUUCGGCGGUUGGGGAUGGACUCGCGGCUUAUCAGCUUGUUGGUGGGGUAGGGGCUUACCAAGGCUUUGACGGGUAGCCGGCCUGAGAGGGUGACCGGCCCCCUUGGGGCCGGGGUGAGGCCCCGACCCCUACCGGAGGGAGGAGUGGGGAAUAUUGCCCCAUGGGCGGGAGCCUGGUGCAACAACGCCGCGUGCGGGAAGACGGCCUUCGGGUUGUAAACCGCUUUCGCCUGUGACGAAGCGUGAGUGACGGUAAUGGGUAAAGAAGCACCGGAUAACUACGUG